AUUUGAUGAUGGGGGCACUUAGAAAGUAACCCUUGAAACCUUAUCCAAUAUUCAUAAAAGGAUUCAUCAAAACCUUAUUCAAUCCCACAAAUUUAUUUCCUCAAAUU